rnacentral:rRNA from 1 species
GACGAACGCUGGCGGCGUGCCUAACACAUGCCAGUCGAACGGAAACGCCCUGCUCUUGUGGUGUGCUCGCGUGUCGCACGCGUGAGUAACACGUGAGUAACCUGUCCUCGACAUUGGGAUAACUUCACGAAACUGGGGCUCAUACCCGAUAUGAGCUUCUGCUCCACGGUGGGGGUUGGAAAGAUUCGGCGGUUGUGGAUGGACUCGCGGCUUAUCAGCUUGUUGGUGGGGUAGUGGCAUACGAAGGCUUUGACGGGUCGCCGGCCUGAGAGGGUGGCCGGCGACAUUGGGCCUACGGGAGGGACCAGACGGCAACGGGACGCAGUAGUGGGGAGUAUGGCGGAAUGGGCGGAAGCGUGAUGCAGCAACGCCGCGUGCGGGAUAACGUCCUGUGGGUGAUAAACCGCUGUCGGCUGAGACGAAGCGUGAUUGACGGUAAUGGGUAAAGAAGCAACGGCUAACUACGUG